rnacentral:tRNA from 1 species
GAAAUUUUAGCUUAAUAAGGAAAGUGUUCGUUUUGCAGACGAGAGUUAAGAGUUUUCUUAAAUUUUC